UACGUAGGGCGCGAGCGUUAUCCGGAAUUAUUGGGCGUAAAGAGCUCGUAGGCGGUUUGUCGCGUCUGCUGUGAAAACUGGAGGCUCAACCUCCAGCCUGCAGUGGGUACGGGCAGACUUGAGUGCGGUAGGGGAGAUUGGAAUUCCUGGUGUAGCGGUGGAAUGCGCAGAUAUCAGGAGGAACACCGAUGGCGAAGGCAGAUCUCUGGGCCGUAACUGACGCUGAGGAGCGAAAGCAUGGGGAGCGAACAGG
rnacentral:rRNA from 1 species